rnacentral:rRNA from 1 species
GAUGGCGACCGGCGCACGGGUGAGUAACACGUAUCCAACCUGCCGAUGACUCGGGGAUAGCCUUUCGAAAGAAAGAUUAAUACCCGAUGGCAUAGUUCUUCCGCAUGGUAGAACUAUUAAAGAAAUUUCGGUUAUCGAUGGGGAUGCGUUCCAUUAGGCAGUUGGUGGGGUAAUGGCCCACCAAACCUUCGAUGGAUAGGGGUUCUGAGAGGAAGGUCCCCCACAUUGGAACUGAGACACGGUCCAAACUCCUACGGGAGGCAGCAUG